UGUUGGACGCGAACCCGGUGUCAUGUGACUUCUGACUUUGUCCACCCCAGUCGAACACCAGCACCUCCACGUCAUUGUACGGUUGAAGCAACACUUCCCCAUGUUUAUACUCCAUGCUUUUAGCAAUAAAUGUCUUUCUUAUUACUUGCCGUAACAGCAUGCUAGAUUUCUGAGAUUCAUGCAAAAGGACAUUCAGAUCCCUCUGCACUAAUAAAUUUUUAAUUUUCUCUCCCAUUCAGAUGGUAAGUUGCCUUUUUCAAUUCUUCUGACUACAAUGGAUAGCCCCAUUGUUGAUGUGACUGAGCCACACACAUUUCAGUGUCAAAUGGAGGGGGUCCUCAAUUUGAUCUGUUUUGCUUUCAAUUUGCAAAUGAGUCAGACACAAUAGUACAUUUGCCACAAUGUAAAAUUGCUGGGUUUGCACCCCACAGCGAUUUUCACCCUGUUUGGACUGUUUUUGAAACCUGUUGCAAGUUGCUGACCACUUCACUAACUUACCUCUGCUGCUGGGAACUGCUGGAAGAAUCAGCUAGAGAAAAUAAGAGAGAGAAAACAUGGGAAUGUUUUACUAUGCUGCCAGACCAGCUGAGUUUCUCCAGCAAUUUUUCCAAGUGUUCAAGUCAAGUCUUCAGCCAGAGCCCAGUGAAGAAUGAGCACAGAUCAAUGAUGAAGAACGGGUUACCUGGCACCAUGAGGUUGAUGGAAUUACUGGUCACAUUAAAUAUCAUUCCACCAGGACCCCGGUUGAUCACAACGCACUGGUAUUGACCUUGGAGAUGGGCCUGGAAGGAUUCAAUUGCCAGCUCUCUCCUGUCCAAGCUAAAGUUGUAGUUCUGACUGGCAUUGUUUAAGGCUUUCUGUUGGACGUACCACUGAAAGUCGGGUCCUGUGCCUUGGCUUAAUACACACUCCAGAACAAGACAACUCCCAAUCGGAACCUCCGUUUUAUUGGCUCGGGAGAUGGGGAAAACCCCUGCAACAGGAACUGGAACAAAACAAAGACAAAUAGGAAAUAAAUGAUCAGGUGUUGAAUUUGUCUAUUUUGUUUUACAGAUGUUAUCUUCAAUUACAGUAUAAUAAUGGAUGGAAAGGAGAAAUAAAUCGAACAAGAUUUCACAUUGUUGCAAAGGUGA